GAGGUUAUCCUGGUUCUGGGCGGGCCCUGAAGCCAAUAACCAUUUUCUCUAUAAAAGGAGAGGGGGGAGGGGAGAAGGUGACGUCGAGACGGGGGCCGAGGCCAGAGGGGCCCUAAGGCGAGGAAUGCCAGCAAUUGCCAGCAAACACCAGAAGCUCCGAGAGAGGCCAGGAACAGAUUCUCCCCCCGAAACUCCACGAGGAAGCGAGUCUGCCGACACCUCGCCUUCAGACGUGCAGCCUCCAGCACUGAGAGCAGAAAUUGUUCUUGUCUUAAGCCUCCCAGUGUGUGGACCUUUCUGGCAGCAGCCUCAGGAAGCCGACUCAAAGGCUGAGUCGCUGCGUGUGCGCAGGGCUUUGUGGCCUUUCCUUCAGCCGGUCCCUGUUGGGGUCUAGGACAGCCCCCCGCAGGCUCUGCUUUGAGGGCGACCCCAGGAAUGGAGGAGCGGCCCAGGCACGGAAGGAGCCAGGACUGAGUCCCCAACGAGCUGCAGCUGAGGCUCAUAAAGCCGCCCACCGACCAGGCCGCUCCAGGUGCCUGGAGGUGAGGCCUGCUCGCCUGCAACAGCAGAGGGUGAGGAGAAAGCUGAGCGAGGCCUCUGUCUGUCCAUCCCUGGGUCACGCUGAGGAGGCCGGAGAGCGACGCUGCGGCUCAGGGGGUGUGGCCCCCUCAACUCCCAGAGCCAGAUCCUGGUGGAGACAAGGUCAUUUGGAGAGAGAGCAUCUGGUCAGAGAAGUUCAAGGAAAGGGGACACUACAGUGUUGGAAGAAGCAGGUCCACAACCAAGUGCCUGGUGGUGGGCCCGAAGCCCCCGGCCACCGCUGGGAAGAAGAGUUGGGGGUAAAACAGAGGAAAGCAGUCAGGACAAACCGGAGUCCUCUAGGCACCUGUGUGUCUGUCUGUCACCACAUGUGACCGCGAAGACUUUCAAGGAGCGAUGGGCUCUUCUUCUCAUCACCAGUGACCCUCCCUCUACCCCUCCUCAGCUACCCCUCCCACAGUCACGACCCAAAUGUCCUCAAUCUCUGAAAUUCCUUCCGCGGUCAUCACGUGAUCCGGCCACCGCCCCUUAGGUUGUUCUCAUGGGGGGGUCUCUAAAGCACCCCACCCCCAUCAUCCAUGCAACAAAGAUUCAUCGAGCCCCACUCUGCAUCAGGCACGGGGUUAGACGCUGGGACGCAGUGGCGAACAAAGAUCAGAACCUGUCCUCACGAGCUUCCAGUCCAGUGGGGGAGCCAGGUUCUGAUUCUGCAGUCCCUCAAAGAAAUGAAGAGUUUGUAGGAAAGACUCUGACGGUAAAGACGAAAGAACAGCCUGGGAGAAGGUGUCUGAGUCGGGGGCACGAAAAGGCUUCCUUCUGGAUGCGAUGGUCACUUGGAGAUGCUGCGCUAGAUAGAAAUGACCUAGGCAAGGAGGACAGAGAAAGGGUUUCCAGCAACGGGAACCAUGUCCAUGGAAGCCCUGAAGCAUGAGAACCCAGGAUUCACUGGGGCCCCAUUCACGCCUCGGCUCACUCCCAACUGGUUUCCGUCUAACCCUAUCAUGUCCCCAAACAAUUUCUGUUAAGGUCACCAAGGUCCUCCUUUGUCACCAAAUCCCUUGGUCAACUUCUGAUCUUUAAUCUGCCUGACGUACAUACCAUCCUCCUUGAAACCCCCCCUUUAUUUUUUGACUCCCACUGUCCAGGGCUCGCCUGGUUUUGGGUAAUUCAAGUCCCAGUGUGGGUGGGCUUGGUGGAAAGGAAGUGUGAGCCAAGAAAGGCUCAGGAACCCAAAACAGAGCCCUGAGGGAUGAAGAAUUUUGUACAGGAGACUUGGAGUGGACUGAGGUCAGAGGAAAGCCAGGAGAGGUGGCAUUCCAGAAGCCUGUGGAAGAGACCCUCUCAGAAGAAGAGCAACAGGCCAGAGCAGCC